CUACAACGAUUUUCAAGUUUUCAUACAACAUUUUGGAGGCAAACUUUACAAACAACUGACAUUGGAAAUUUUGUAAUAUGUCUUAUUUCACACAUUUUGAUUGGUCUAGCUGUAUGCUAUUUUGUAAUACCAAAGAUUUCCUCCCGCCCAGACCAUUUGUGUUAAAAAGUAUUUUUAGCCAAAAAAGUCAUAUACGACAUUUUAGAAGCCCAGCGACG
rnacentral:lncRNA from 1 species